GGGAGCCCGGCUUGGGGCUGGAUCUCACGACCCUGAGAUCAUGGCCUGAGCCGAAACAAAGAGUCCGAUGCUUAACCGAUUGAGCCACCCAGGUGACGCAAAACUUAGUGUAUAGAAAAUUUAACCUCUCAUAUAACCUCCACUCAGCUUCAGCAAUUGGUAAUUUGCCUAUUUUUAAAUCGAUUCUUUUACUUUAAAAAUUUUUGUUGUAGGAUUUUAACACAAAUCCCUUACAGCAUGUCGUAUUUCCAUUUUUGUUUUUCUUUAUUAUUUUUACUGGAUACACAGAUACUCUGAUAUAAAUAUAUGUACCAUCAUGUAUUUUAGCAGCCCUCCAUUGAUGGAUAUUGAAGCUGUUUCCAUAGUAUAGUUUUUUUUAAUAAAAGGGAACUGCUAUAUAUGUAUGGAUACAGACUGCUUAAGAAUUUCAUAUGAACAAAUUCACUAAUCAGAAAAAGAAAUCCUCGGGGCACCUGGGUGGCUCAGUCAUUAAGUGUCUGCCUUCGGCUCAGGUCAUGGUCCCAGGAUCCUGGGAUCGAGCCCCACAUUGCGCUCCCUGCUCGGUGGGAAGCCUGCUUCUCCCUCUCCUACUCCCCCUGCUUGUGUUCCCUCUCUCGCUGUGUCUUUCUGUCAAAUAAAUAAAUAAAAUCUUUAAAAAAAGAAAAGAAAAGAGAAAGAAAUCCUUGAUCACUCAGUUUGGAGUUCAUAAAAUAUAAUCACUGAAGGACCCGAGCUGCAGCUGUGGAGGCUCCGAUCUGGGAAGCUAGGAGCAGCCCUUUUCCUAUUGCUUCUCUCAAAAUGCUUUAAGAGCUUUGGUUUUAAGUACCUGUUUAUAUUAAUAUUCUCCUCACAUUAUCAUGAUUAAGAAAGCUAUGAAUUUCCUGAAUCCCAUAUUCUGUUUUUUCUUUGCAAGGCCUUUCUCGGCUUACCCAGAUUUGGCCCAGAGUUUCUCAAUCUCAGCACCAUUGACAUAUUGGGCUGGAUAAUCUUUUACUUUGUGGCGCUGUCCUGCGCAUUGCAGGAUACUUAGCAGCACGCCUGGUCCCCAUCUAUUAGAUCUCAGUAGUACUCUGCUCCCCCAGUUCCAUUGUGACAAUCAAAAACAUCUCCAGACAUUGCCAAAUGUCCCCUGGGGAGCAGUCUCCCCACCUUGACAACUAUGGCUUCGGACUCAGGGCAGAAGGAGGAAAAAUGGACAAGAAGGCCAAUAGCAGACAUAGAAACACCUCAUGGUCUACUAGUUAAUAUCUAAAGAAGAGCAAUUGGACUGAAUUAUGACUCGGUUUCAUUUUCUAUUCCAGAGCCAAUUGCUUAUCUGUUUAUUUAACCAAGAAGCUGACUAAUUUAAACAAGGUUUGGGAAUAGAAGUAGAAGCAGAAGGCUAAUGAAUGAAUUUGUUAAUCCCUCUUUCCAGACUGUGACCUUGAUUGAUAAUAUUUCUCAGCAGUGACACAUCUCAAGUACUGUUUAUCUUUUUACCUCUGAUAAGUCAUAUUUUGUGCAUUUAUUUUGUGAUUCAAUGCCUUGUUUUCCAUUAAGUGUCUCAUAGUUAACUCGAUGAAGUUGAAACAUUUUUUUUUUUUAAAUAUGUGAUGUGCAUUUGUAUCCAAGUCUUGAUUAAUUUCUGCAUCAAAAGCUCUGUUUCAAUCUCAGGUCUCUGUGGUUCUCAGAAUGUGUAUUCAGUUUUACACUUGGCCACUGACUUCAUAUGAGAAAGUGGAAGAGGAGUAUGAAGGAGUCUCCUUCAUUCUCCUUUUUGAGAAACAACUUGUCUUCUUUGCAAGGGAAGAAUGGAACUGAAUUUUCUCAGCCUAGAAUGUAAACGUGCUGUCAGAUGCCUAGAAAUCCUGGCCAGGUCAUAGCGCCAGCAUUGUGCAAGAAGAAGUAUGGCAGCAUGGAAGGCAACAUCUGAGGCAAAGCCGGCAAGAGAAGUUGAGAGACAGAGACAGUGAGAACAGGAAUAUAAGCAGGGGGAGUGCGAGAGGGAGAAGCAGGCUUCCUGCUGAGCAGGGAGCCCGACGUGGGACUCGAUCCCAGGACUCUGGGAUCAUGACCUGAGCCGAAGGCAGACGCUUAACGACUGAGCCACGCAGGCACCCCUGAAGAAGCUUUUAUUGGCCAAAAUUUGGAUAAAAUAAAGCAUUUUCUUCCAGAGGAGCCUCUUCAACUUGGAUAAUUAUUGGCAGACAAAUAAAUGGGGGAAAAAGUCACAAAUCUAAGAUGAAAACUAAAGGGUCAUAAACAUCUUUUCAUUUCAGUGAACUUGGUUGGAAUUUCUGAUAAAUGCGGCGAGAACAGGCUGCGCGGGACCGGUGCCUUACUGAUGGAAAACUAAAAUCCCACGUGUGGCCAUUCUUGUUCAUCUGCAUCUGUAAUCCGAGGAGUCCUGCCAUGUCCUGCGUGCGUGCGUGAGCUCUCGCGAUCUCCUGGGGCCACAACGACUUCCUGGCACCACCAGACCCCAGGGCCCCCAGGACUUCCCCCUCCCAUGCCCCCAUCACUGCCCCCAGGCUCACUUCCUUCUUUUCUGUCCCUGAAGCUUAAGUCUGAUGUACAAACACUUGGAAUCAGGCUCGUUAUGUAAGUUUCCUGGUCCCUGAGCUGGGUGACUCAGCAUGAGGUGGUGCCCUGCUCUUUCCCAGCCUGGGGCAGCAUGCUAACCAGGGCCAGGUCAGCAGCAAACUGGAAUGGAAAACAAGGCCCGCUAAUGAGGUCCAGCUGAGCAGCCUUCAUUCCCAGUGGUGUCUGGGGAGCCCAGGAAACCCAUGGGAACCAUCGGAGGGCCCUUGCCAACGAACCCACAGGAGGAAUUCUCCAUCUCCCUGCUCACUUCCUGUUCUCUCCUCUUACCGCUUUGGCCAAAGAUUACAGAAGAUUCGCAUUUGGUUCCUCUUUGCCCCGAGGCUGCCACUUCCUGGGUCCCUGUUAUAAAUCGAAUGUUCGUGUUACCCCAAAAUUCAUAGGGUGAAGCCCUAACCCUCCAAUGUCAUAGUGUUAGGAGGUGGGGCCUUUGGAGGUAAUUAGGUGGAAAUGAGGUCAUUAAGGUAAGAGCCUCCAUGCUGGGAUUAGUGCCCUCCUAAGAAAAGGAAGAGACCAACGUCUUCCCCUCCACACUCCCCCAUGUGAGGAUCCAGCAAGAAGAUGGUCACCUGAAAGCCGGGAAGAGGGUCUUCACCAGGACCCCGCUAUCCUCGCACCCUGAUCUCCAACGUCUAGCCUCCGAAACUGUGAGGAAAUCAAUUUCUGUUGAAGUCACAAAGUCUGUGGUAUGUUAUUAAACUAGUCCAAGCUAAGACAGUCACAGCUAACCUCAGGUCCUAGCGAGGCUCAGGCAGGAAGUGAUGCUGGUGCAUGAGGAUGCACCCUUGGGUGCGGCUCAGCCUGGACCCAAACUCUCUCUCUCCUCCGCCCCAGGUCCCAAGCACAGAGUUGGAAAUCAGUUGGAAACACUGCUUAUAGAGAGGACAAACUUUGGCACUGAAUUUGGGCUUGUGUCUGGCUCGCCCUCAUUUCUCUCUCCUGCAAGCAUGUCGAUGUCUGUUUGAAUUCCAACUAUGUACUAGGGUUUAAAAGUCCCUUGUUUUAAGGAAGAUACUCAGAGAUAGUAACUUGGGAAAAGAUUAAGCAGAGAAGGCCCCAGACAGAGUGUACAUUGUCCCUCAGCGAGCAGGCUCCACACCCAGCGUGGAGCCCAAUGUGGGGCUCAAACUCAUGACUGUGAAAUCAAGACCUGAGCUGGGAUCAAGAAUCAGACACUUGAAUGAGCCACCCAGGUGCCCCUCUUUCACGCUUUUUUUGUACUAAAGAACUGACUAGAAGAAAAACACCUCAAGGCAACCAGUAUUCUGUUCCAUUAGAAUAAAAUUGCCAGGAAUUUUCCAUUUAAGAUCUUAUUUGUGACAAAGAGAAGCCCAAGGUUUUUCCUAGAAUCAAAAGAGUGGCUGGAUUUUGGAGGCAAUCUGACUGGAGGACUCCUUUCCUGGCCAUACUGUGAAGAGAUCAUCGGAGAGCUGUCCACUGCAAUCCCCACACACCUUCAGAAGGAGAGUCCACAACCACCCAGAUGGCGACUCAGUGUCUGACAAUCCUUAGAGAGUUCAGGGUUCUUCCUGAUACCUUGCUUGGAAUCUCUCUUGCUUCAGCAUAAACUGUGUUCUUUUUUUUUUAAGAUGUACUUAUUUUAGAGAGAGAGAGAGUGCAUGAGCACAAGGGGGGGAGGGGUAGAGGGAGAGAAUUUUCAAGCAGACUCCCUGAUAAGCAUGGAACCCAACUGUGGGGCUCAGUCCCACCACCCAUGAGAUCAUGACCUGAGCGGAGACCAAGAGUCGGACCCUCAACCAGCUGAGCCACCCAGGCGCCCCUGUUCUUUUCUUUUUAUAGUAAGGGAGUAUGGCUGUGAGACAGACAUUUGAACUACACAGCGGCAUCCUGUUGCAUUAAAGUCCUGCCAUCAUUGGCCUGGUUCACAAGUUAUUAUAUUAUAGGAGGUUGGGCCUAGGCCUGACCUCUGAAUUCACAGGAGAGAAAACUAAGGCCCGAGAGGUCCAGCACCUGGCUAGGAUAUGACCACAGCUAGGAAGGGCAAGAGCUGGGUUUCAAUUCAAGUCUUCCAAGCCGCAAAUUUAGGAUUUUUUUUUUUCCUGUUCCCUUUCACUCAGGAUCUCCUUUUACUGGACAUGUGUCCAAAGGUGACCCAGAAUCCUUCGGGCAUCUCCAAGGGCCAAUUUCAGAUGUCUUAGCCCGGAAGUUAGAAGACCCUAGCCUCAAUCUUGGUCCUUUUCAGAAGAGCUCUUCGGGAGAAUAUGUGACAUUAGAGCUUUUGUUUAUGUGCUUUUGAGGGAUACUAAGUGUCACAGGUGAAGCAGGAAUAUCCUUUGGAAAUUGGAGUCUGUGCAUGGGAAGAUUCAAUUUAUCUGUAUCUGUAUCUAUACACACACACAUAUAUAUACGCACAUUAUAUAUGUAUAAGGGAGAGAAGAGUUACAUGUAUAUAUAAAUAUAUAAAAUGUAAAAUACAAAUAUUUUAUAAAUACUAUAAAUAAAAUAUAAAUUUAUAAAUAUUUAUAAAUAGCAACACAAAAUAAAAAUAUAUAUGAAUAUAUGUUUUAUGGAGAGAGGAGUUAUAACUUUUACCCAAUUCUUCUUUUUUUUUUUAAGAUUUUUAUUUAUUUAUUUGACAGAGAAAGAGAGAAAGGGUUCACAAGCAGGGGGAGAGGCAGAGGAAGAGGGAGAAGCAGACUUCCCGCUGAACAGGGAGCCCGAUGUGGGGCUCGAUCUUAGGACCCUGGGACCAUGACCCAAGCGGAAGGCAGCCACUUAACCGACUGAGCCACCCAGGCGCCCCUUACCCAAUUCUUUUUAAAGAUUGAAUUUAUUUGAGAGAGAGGGAGAGCACGAGUGGGGGAGGGGCAGAAGGAGAGGGAGAAGUAGACUCCCUGCUGAGUGGGCAGUCUGACCGACCUGACCUAGGGCUCCAUCCCAGAACCCUGGGAUCAUGACCUGAGCCGACGGCAGAUGCUUAACCGACUGAGCCACCCAGGUCUCCCAACUUUUACACAAUUUUCAAAAAGAAGUCCAGGACCUAAAAAAAAAAAAAAAAAAAGGCUAAGUAAUUCAUGAUUCAUUCAGUCAGCAAAUAUUUUCCAAGCGCUUACUGUAUGUGAGGUACUCAACUGAGUCCAGAGAAUAUAAUAGAAAUAAAAUAAAUGUGAUCCCUACCUUCAUGGCAUUUACAUUAUGGUGAGAGAGGCAAAUAAUAAUCAAUAAACAAAUAAUAACAAAUGAAAUAACACCUUAUGACAGACUGAAAGAAAAAAAAAAACAAGUUAAGAACUACUGAUCUAACUAGACUGCAUUUCUCUCCGGACUUUAUUUUUUACCUUUCUUCUCCUAAGAAAGUCAAACCCCUCCAGAAACAGACUCAGUUUCAGAAAUAGACUGUUUAACUUCUCAGUUGUAAUUUGAAGGCGUGUAGUUAAGUCCCUAAAUCCUCUGACCCUUCUUCCCUUGAAUAUGGCUGCUUUGUGCAGUCAGGCUGAUUAGAUUAACCCUUCAUUCCUCCCUGCUUCCCAGGCAGGCAGGAUAAUUCCAGGUCUCUAGACAUGAAAGACAAGUCUGUUUGGCCAGGAACAGCAAAGUACUUCCCCUUGCAGAAUCUCCCUCCUGAUUACCACUGCUGCUUGAGCAAGAAUAAAUGAUCUGAAAGCUCCAGAAAGACAAACGACCAAGAAGUGCUGGCAAAUUUUAGAAGUCUGUGGAUUCUCAUAAUGAGGAUAUUGUUCAGCAUUUUCUCUCAGAUCAGGUUUUUAUUCAUUGCUGAGUGGAUUUUUAUAUGUGCACCUCUAUUGUUUAAAAAUGCAAGUGAUUUAUACCACCCCACCCCCGCCCCAUUUUCAAUCUUUAAUAAACUCCCAGAACAAUGUAACAUUGUGCAACUAGAAUUGUUGCUAUUUUUGAAUUGGUGUUGUCCUAAAUUCACCUAAGGAGGUGGGCAGUAGAAAGAAGGGGACCUGUUGAAAGACUUACAACUCAAUGGCAAAGUUGAAAUUUGAAUCUAGGAAAUCUGAUUUCUGGGUCUCUGCUCUCCAGGCACUGAUUAGAUCCAACGGCCUUGCUCAAAUUACACAUGCAUGCGCACACAAUAUUAUCAGAAUGCUGUGGGGUCAGUUGAUUAGAAUUUUCAGUCCUUACUAAUUCUAGGGAAAGUGUCAUACCACCGACUGAAGGGCCAGUUCUGAUUUGGAGAAAAGACUCUGUCAAUUAAAUAUGAGUGCAUGGUUGUAGUAUCUUGAAGUGAAAACAAAACACAAGUAAACGGGAGGGGGAAAAAGCUAUUGGGUAAGGUUGUGGAUAUCACUCGGAGGGUGAAUAAUGAAAGGUUAAUCAUGGCGUACAAUUAAGGUUACCAGGUCAGGAUCUAAAGUCCUGUUGGUUGUCCAAACGGGCCUGACUGAUCUGGACUCAGUUAAUGGCUUCUCUCUUCCAUUACUUUUCUUCCUACCUUCAUCUUCUACUCCAUUUCUCCCUCCUAUCCAUUCAUAUCUUGGGUCUGGUGGGGAGGUGACAUCCCUUUCCCCUGAGAGUCUCUUGGGGAAGGGCUUCAGGUCAUGGUAUUCUAUCUUAGCAAUGAAUUAGCUUUGGGGGUCUCCUUUGCACAACAUUGCCCUCUUCAGGCCCCCAGUAAAGGCAUGGACAAGUGUCAGAAAAGGAAACAGGUGGAGAGAAAGUCAAGCUUCCUUCCCCGAGAACUACUGACUAUUCCCGGAAAGCCAGCCCCAAGGUUUAUGCCCAUUGCCGAGAAGGUAUCAAGGCACAGCGUGAAACACAUUAGGGACAGUGUCCUCCCAUGUCUUAAGUCUGUGCAGCCUCGGUGCCUGGGCUGGGGAGCAGAGAGGGGGUGCUGUCUUGUGCGGGGAGAAGCUUACAUGAACAGGAGAUUCUUCCUUCACAGUUACUGUGACUCAGUCAAU